ACCACCAUUCAUGUACUUCUAUGGUGAGAGGGGAGGCAGAAAGAAAAAAGUUUUGGAAGAUCACGGGGCCAGCUAUCCUGCCACAUGCAGGAGUGAAUAAGAAGCCCUGAAACAAGCAAGUGAAAGGUAAAAGCCAACACACAAGCUUGUUCUCUGAUCUCUGCAUACAUGCCAUGUAAUAAUGUUCAUGCCUGUAUCACACAUAGAAAUACACACACACACACACACACACACACACACACACACACACACACACAAAGAUUUUUCGUUAAAAAAAGAAGGAAGAUUUGAGGCACUACUAGCUCAGUGGUAUAAUAUAUGCCUCACAUUCAUAAGGCCUCAAAGUCAAUCCUAGCACUCAAGGAAAAGGCAAAAAGUGUGUCCAGGGAUGGCUCCGAGGUUAAGAUAGAUGGAUCAGAGUUUAAGAAUACUGGUUGUUCUUCCUGAGGACCAGGAUUCAAUUGCUAGAACACAUACAGUAGCUCAAUGUUACCGGCACCUCCCAUCCCAGGGAAUCUGAUAUCAUCUCUUGAUCUCCACAAGAUUAGGCAUACGUGCAAGGCAAACAUUCACACAAUAAUGGUAAAUACAGGAAAAAAUUUAGAUAUGUGGUUGAAUUAAAAGGGUAGAGAAAAACGAUAACCUAGAAAUCAAAAUAGCCUUAAUAACGACUAAGAAUUUUUAAAAAAAAUCUAUUUAGUCAGAAUCCUUGAGAAAAUAAAGAAGCUCUCUAAUUCUAUACCAGAACUAGAGGAGAAGAGGAAAUUUCUCUGCUUUAUACUGAUCGGUGUUUGGGAUGCUGUGAUAGAAAAUGGUUGCUCUACUCCACAUCAAUACCAAAAGUCAUUUAAUAAAUUCUUCCUGAAAAAAUACAAAAAAAACAAAAAAACAAAAACAAAAAAAAAUGCGUAUCUACUUGACAUCUCCAGAAGCCCAUAAUAGCUUCAGAGUGAUCUGGCCUUAGUAUUACUGUUGGAUGCUGAUUGUCUUGUUGCACAUUCGCUCAUCUCUAUCAUAUCUUCCUUAAAAUAAAGCACAAAUAAACAGCAUGUGUAAGUAAGCAGUAAGACAGAAAGGCAAACACAGAAGGAAGGGAAAAUUUAUUCAUGGUGGGGAAUGAUUUCUUAAAUAGUUUGAGCUGCUAUACGCCUAUGAACUAGGUGGCUUAAAGAAUAGAAUUUUUUUUCACACUUCUAAUGACUGAUGUCUGAGAUCUGGGAACCAGUGUGGCCAAAUCCUGAGUGAAAGUGUCCUUCCUGGUAAUACCUUCACUUGGUCUUCCACAGUAUGCAGAGAAUGAGUACCUGUCGAUCACAUCAUUUGGAAUCCAUUUUCAUGACCUAAUCUGAGCAUAGAUGCCUCCCAAAGGCAUUCCUCCUAACAUUUUCCCACAGAGGGUAUGGGUUAUUAACAUAUGACUAACAUAUUA
rnacentral:lncRNA from 1 species